rnacentral:rRNA from 1 species
GGACGAACGCUGGCGGCGUGCUUAACACAUGCAAGUCGAGCGGUAAGGCCCUUUCGGGGGUACACGAGCGGCGAACGGGUGAGUAACACGUGGGUGACCUGCCCUCAGCUCUGGGAUAAGCCUGGGGAAACCGGGGUCUAAGUACCGGAUAUGACUCCAUGACGCAUGGUUGUGGGGGUGGAAAGCCUUGUGCGGCUGAGGAUGGGCCCGCGGCCUAUCAGCUUGUUGGUGGGGUGAUGGCCUACCAAGGCGACGACGGGUAGCCGGCCUGAGAGGGCGACCGGCCACACUGGGACUGAGACACGGCCCAGACCUCCUACGGGAGGGCAGCAGGUGGGGAAUCUUGCGCAAUGGGCGAAAGCCUGACGCAGCGACGCCGCGUGA